CUGUUACUCCCUCCGUCCGGAAAUACUUGUCAUCAAAAUGAAUAAAAAGGGAUGUAUCUAGAUGUAUAUUAGUUCCAGAUACAUCCCUUUUUAUCCAUUUUGAUGACAAGUAUUUUCGGACGGAGGGAGUACAAA
rfam:Triticum aestivum genome assembly, contig: Triticum_aestivum_CS42_TGACv1_scaffold_542814_6DS